rnacentral:misc_RNA from 1 species
UAGGCUUGACAUGCACGAUCUCCGAAGAGGGGCUCUCGUUUCUGAGAGCUUGCUCGUGCAUGUCAAGCCUAGGUAAGGUUCUUCGCGUUGCGUCGAAUUAAACCACAUGCUCCACCGCUUGUGCGGGCCCCCGUCAAUUCCUUUGAGUUUCAACCUUGCGGUCGUACUCCCCAGGCGGGGUACUUCCUGCGUUAGCGCCGGCACCCAGAGGGUCGCUCCCCCAGGCACCUAGUACCCAUCGUUUACGGCGUGGACUAC